CAGUCGCCACGGGAAUACAGAGGGUGCAAGCGUUAAUCGGAAUUACUGGGCGUAAAGCGCGCGUAGGUGGUUUGUUAAGUUGGAUGUGAAAUCCCCGGGCUCAACCUGGGAACUGCAUUUGAAACUGGCAGGCUAGAGUCUUGUAGAGGGGGGUAGAAUUCCAGGUGUAGCGGUGAAAUGCGUAGAGAUCUGGAGGAAUACCGGUGGCGAAGGCGGCCCCCUGGACAAAGACUGACGCUCAGGUGCGAAAGCGUGGGGAGCAAACAGGAUUAGAUACCCCUGUAGUCCCUGUCUCUUAUAC
rnacentral:rRNA from 1 species